GACGAACGCUGGCGGCGUGCCUAACACAUGCAAGUCGAACGGGGUCAGCCCUUCGGGACUGACUUAGUGGCGAACGGGUGAGUAACGCGUGAGGAACCUGCCUUCCAGUGGGGGACAACAGUUGGAAACGACUGCUAAUACCGCAUAACAUGUACGGAUCGCAUGGUCUGUACAUCAAAGCUUUAUGUGCUGAAAGAUGGCCUCGCGUCUGAUUAGCUAGUUGGUGGGGUAACGGCCCACCAAGGCGACGAUCAGUAGCCGGUCUGAGAGGAUGAACGGCCACAUUGGGACUGAGAUACGGCCCAGACUCCUACGGGAGGCAGCAGUGGGGAAUAUUGGGCAAUGGGGGAAACCCUGACCCAGCAACGCCGCGUGAAGGAAGAAGGCCUUCGGGUUGUAAACUUCUUUACCUAGGGACGAAGAACGUGACGGUACCUGGAGAAAAAGGACAACGGACUAACUACGUG
rnacentral:rRNA from 1 species